rnacentral:rRNA from 1 species
AUUGAACGCUGGCGGCAGGCUUAACACAUGCAAGUCGAGCGGGGUGAUGGUGCUUGCACUAUCACUUAGCGGCGGACGGGUGAGUAAUGCUUAGGAAUCUGCCUAUUAGUGGGGGACAACAUCUCGAAAGGGAUGCUAAUACCGCAUACGUCCUACGGGAGAAAGCAGGGGAUCACUUGUGACCUUGCGCUAAUAGAUGAGCCUAAGUCGGAUUAGCUAGUUGGUGGGGUAAAGGCCUACCAAGGCGACGAGCUGUAGCGGGUCUGAGAGGAUGAUCCGCCACACUGGGACUGAGACACGGCCCAGACUCCGACGGGAGGCAGCAGUGGGGAAUAUUGGACAAUGGGGGGAACCCUGAUCCAGCCAUGCCGCGUGUGUGAAGAAGGCCUUAUGGUUGUAAAGCACUUUAAGCGAGGAGGAGGUUCUUUUGGUUAAUACCCAAGAUGAGUGGACGUUACUCGCAGAAUAAGCACCGGCUAACUCUGUGCCAGCCGCCGCAGUAA